GGCGGCGUGCUUAACACAUGCAAGUCGAACGGAAAGGCCCUGCUUUUGUGGGGUGCUCGAGUGGCGAACGGGUGAGUAACACGUGAGUAACCUGCCCUUGACUUUGGGAUAACUUCAGGAAACUGGGGCUAAUACCGGAUAGGAGCUCCUGCUGCAUGGUGGGGGUUGGAAAGUUUCGGCGGUUGGGGAUGGACUCGCGGCUUAUCAGCUUGUUGGUGGGGUAGUGGCUUACCAAGGCUUUGGCGGGUAGCCGGCCUGAGAGGGUGACCGGCCACAUUGGGACUGAGAUACGGCCCAGACUCCUACGGGAGGCAGCAGUGGGGAAUAUUGCACAAUGGGCGGAAGCCUGAUGCAGCAACGCCGCGUGCGGGAUGACGGCCUUCGGGUUGUAAACCGCUUUCGCCUGUGACGAAGCGUGAGUGACGGUAAUGGGUAAAGAAGCACCGGCUAACUACGUGCCAGCAGCCGCGGUGAUACGUAGGGUGCGAGCGUUGUCCGGAUUUAUUGGGCGUAAAGGGCUCGUAGGUGGUUGAUCGCGUCGGAAGUGUAAUCUUGGGGCUUAACCCUGAGCGUGCUUUCGAUACGGGUUGACUUGAGGAAGGUAGGGGAGAAUGGAAUUCCUGGUGGAGCGGUGGAAUGCGCAGAUAUCAGGAGGAACACCAGUGGCGAAGGCGGUUCUCUGGGCCUUUCCUGACGCUGAGGAGCGAAAGCGUGGGGAGCGAACAGGCUUAGAUACCCUGGUAGUCCACGCUGUAAACGGUGGGUACUAGGUGUGGGGUCCAUUCCACGGGUUCCGUGCCGUAGCUAACGCUUUAAGUACCCCGCCUGGGGAGUACGGCCGCAAGGCUAAAACUCAAAGGAAUUGACGGGGCCCCGCACAAGCGGCGGAGCAUGCGGAUUAAUUCGAUGCAACGCGUAGAACCUUACCUGGGUUUGACAUGGAUCGGGAGUGCUCAGAGAUGGGUGUGCCUCUUUUGGGGUCGGUUCACAGGUGGUGCAUGCCUGUCGUCAGCUCGUGUCGUGAGAUGUUGGGUUAAGUCCCACAACGAGCGCAACCCUUGUUCACUGUUGCCAGCACGUUAUGGUGGGGACUCAGUGGAGACCGCCGGGGUCAACUCGGAGGAAGGUGGGGAUGACGUCAGGUCCUCAUGCCCCUUAUGUCCAGGGCUUCACGCAUGCUACAAUGGCUGGUACAGAGAGUGGCGAGCCUGUGAGGGUGAGCGAAUCUCGGAAAGCCGGUCUCAGUUCGGAUUGGGGUCUGCAACUCGACCUCAUGAAGUCGGAGUCGCUAGUAAUCGCAGAUCAGCAACGCUGCGGUGAAUACGUUCCCGGGGCUUGUACACACCGCCCGUCAAGUCAUGAAAGUUGGUAACACCCGAAGCCGGUGGCCUAACCGUUGUGGGGGAGCCGUCGAAGGUGGGACUGGUGAUUAGGACUAAGUCGUA
rnacentral:rRNA from 1 species